ensembl:misc_RNA Gm24749 predicted gene, 24749
GGAUGUGAGGGGACUCUGACUGGCACCUGUCCCCCUUGGGGCUGGGCUAGCUUUGCCUGGCUGACUGUCUAGGUGGCUGUCCAUCUAGGUGGCUAUCCUCUUCCUCCCUCACUGCUCCCCGGGGCCUUUCUAGAAGCCACCAGUCAGUCAAGACAGACAACCUUCCCCAGCACAGCAGGGCCAUUCUUUUGAUGAAGGAUGUACAAAUAACUGGCCUCCUAGUUAAAACUUCCCCAAAAAAAGCUUUUCAGGAAAUUAAGUAUCUUUAUGUAGAGAGAUUUGAGUAAGUCAUUUGCAGGAUUUUGAGUGAAACACUUUAGUAAGGGAGACUAGGACAGCUCUC